AACGAACGCUGGCGGCAUGCCUAACACAUGCGAGUCGAACGAUCCCUUCGGGGAUAGUGGCGCACGGGUGCGUAACGCGUGGGAACCUGCCCUUAGGUUCGGAAUAACUCAGAGAAAUUUGAGCUAAUACCGGAUAAUGUCUUCGGACCAAAGAUUUAUCGCCUUUGGAUGGGCCCGCGUUGGAUUAGCUAGUUGGUGGGGUAAAGGCCUACCAAGGCGACGAUCCAUAGCUGGUCUGAGAGGAUGAUCAGCCACACUGGGACUGAGACACGGCCCAGACUCCUACGGGAGGCAGCAGUGGGGAAUAUUGGACAAUGGGCGAAAGCCUGAUCCAGCAAUGCCGCGUGAGUGAUGAAGGCCUUAGGGUUGUAAAGCUCUUUUACCCGGGAUGAUAAUGACAGUACCGGGAGAAUAAGCCCCGGCUAACUCCGUG
rnacentral:rRNA from 1 species